AGAAAAGUAAGCUAAGAUAA
rnacentral:tRNA from 2 species